rnacentral:SRP_RNA from 1 species
GCCGGGUGCGGUGGCGCGUGCCUGUAGUCCCAGCUACUCGGGAGGCUGAGGUGGGAGGAUCGAUUGAGCCCAGGAGUUCUGGGCUGUAGAGCGCCAUGCCUAUCGGGUGUCCAUACUAAGUUCGACAUCAAUAUGGUGACCUCCCUGGAGCGGGGGACCACCAGGUUGCCUAAGGAGGGGUGAGCCGGCCCAGGUCGGAAAUGAAGCAGGUCACAACUCCUGUGCUGAUCAGUAGUGGGAUCGAGCCUAUGAAUAGCCACUGCACUCCAGCCUGGGCAAGAUAGCGAGAUCCUGUCUCU